AGCUGGGUCCCGCGCAACGAGGUAUGGCAAACUCCGCCAGGUCCGGAAGGAAGCAACGGUAGUCAUUACUUUCGUGUGCCGCGGGGUCGCCUGGCUGUC
rnacentral:SRP_RNA from 1 species